rnacentral:rRNA from 1 species
UACGAAGGGGGCUAGCGCUGUUCGGAAUUACUGGGCGUAAAGCGCGCGCAGGCGGCCAAGCAAGUCAGGGGUGAAAGCCCGGAGCUCAACUCCGGAAUUGCCUUUGAAACUGAUCGGCUUGAGUACGGGAGAGGUGAGUGGAAUUCCCAGUGUAGAGGUGAAAUUCGUAGAUAUUGGGAAGAACACCGGUGGCGAAGGCGGCUCACUGGCCCGUAACUGGCGCUCAUGCACGACAGCGUGGGGAUCAAACGGG